rnacentral:lncRNA from 1 species
AAAUGGGAGCUAGAGGCAGGAGAGUGCCUGUAUGCUUGUGGGGCAGCUAGCUUGGUAUAUGCAGUAGUGGACAAGAGACCCUGCCUCAAACAAGGAGGCAGGUGAAGACCAAGACCCAAGGUUGCCCUCUGACCUCCACGUGUGUGCCAUGGCAAAUGCACAUAUCUAUACCUUCACUCAUACACAAGAAGUUAUGCACACCCUGACCCUCCACAGAGAAGAGAGAAGAGAGAGAGAGAGACAGACACAGACAGAGACAGAGACACAGACACAGACACAGACAGAGACAGAGACAGAGACACAGACAGAGACACAGACACAGACAGAGACAGAGACAGAGACAGAGACACAGACACAGACACAGACAGAGACAGAGACACAGACACAGACACAGACACAGACACAGACACAGACAGAGACACAGACACAGACAGAGACACAGACACAGACACAGACAGAGACAGAGACAGAGACACAGACACAGACAGAGACACAGACACAGACAGAGACAGAGACACAGACAGAGACAGAGACACAGACAGAGACACAGACACAAACACAGAUAUUUUGGAAAGAUGCCUCAGGCUCGUCAUACCCAUUGUAUUAGUUGUUGUUUUUUAAAAUUGUUAUGACAAAAUACUUGGCAAAAGCAAUUCAAGAAAUGAAAGUUUGGGACUGGAGAGACGACUCAGUGGUUAACAGCACUCUCUGUUCUCCCAGAAGACCUGGGUUUGAUUCCUACCACCUCUAUAGUUGCUUACAACCAUCUGUAAACCUAAUUUUAGGGGAUCUGAAACCUUCUUCUGACCUCUGUAGGUACCAGGUAUGGAAGUGUGGGAUAGACAUUCAUGUGGCAAAAACACUCAUACACU